UACGUAUGGGGCAAGCGUUAUCCGGAUUUACUGGGUGUAAAGGGAGCGUAGGCGGCCUGGCAAGCCUGAUGUGAAAUACCGGGGCCCAAUCCCGGGGCUGCAUUGGGAACUGCCAGGCUGGAGUGCCGGAGAGGCAGGCGGAAUUCCUAGUGUAGCGGUGAAAUGCGUAGAUAUUAGGAGGAACACCAGUGGCGAAGGCGGCCUGCUGGACGGUGACUGACGCUGAGGCUCGAAAGCGUGGGGAGCAAACAGG
rnacentral:rRNA from 1 species